GCACAAGAGGAGCUGGAUUUGCUACUUGGACUAGGAAUACCAGACUCCUUUACAUAUAGGAGUGUCAGGAGGCUUUGUACAGUGAGGAUGCUUUUGGCUGCAUGUAACAACCCCCUCCUCUACUCUGCACCAGACUCAGUGGCUGAAACAACACAUGACUUCGUUAUUUCAUGUGGAGUGGAGACGGCUGCACAGCCGCUUUGUCUAGGAUGACCUAGGGAAGCACUGACUGAAGACAGCAGACCCACAAGAUGGAAGAAUCCUUCCAGAGAGCACCUUCCCUCCCUCCACACAUGCGACCACCCACCACCACCAGGAACACCAGAUGGAGCUGUCAGGUCUCCAUGCCACUAUGCUCCCCAGUGACUGCUUAACUGUAACAGAAUGACCAGCAGAUUGGGAACAAGGAGAAUGGCUUAUAAGUCCCAGUUUCACCACUAAUUGGUCCUGUGACUUGUGUAAGUCAUCAAA